rnacentral:lncRNA from 1 species
CAGAUAUUGGGUUUCCAUUAUAGUAUUUCGCAAUAUUGCAUCAGCCGGUUACGACUAGUUUUAUCAAUACACAUAACAUUCUUUACUGUUUUAAGUAUUAUAACGAAAAAAGUGGAAUUUAAGCAACUGAAAUGUAUUCAAGAAUUCUACAAAGAUAUUAUUAGCCAGACGAAUUACAACGUGAAAAAUCCAAGACUUUAUAAAGACAACGAACGUUUAACACAAAAUAUAUCAUCGGAAGACUUCAAGAAAAGAAUGUUAACCAUAGCAUGGUUGAAUAUCAUAAUACUUUCAUGUUGUUAGAAUCACUCAACCAUUUGAGUAU